GAGGACUAGGUGCCGCGAUUAUCCUUUCUUGUCUCUCUUUUGUGUGUCUGUGCGUGGGGCUCUAAUUGGUGUGUGCGGCCGGAAGGCGGGGCCUUACUUGAAACGUUACGGAUACGGAGGCUGAGGCUACAGCUGCAAUACAUAGUGAUUCUUCUGAUGGAUCUGGCCAGAGUAAAUUGAAAACCUUCUAGAAAGUAUUCACCAUAUAGAUGACAUUAAGAACUGUAGUGAUUCCUGGGAAGAGGACAACAUAUCAACAUUAACAGUGUUUGAAGUAAAUUGAUUCCAACCCUCAUGGAUGACUUUGAGAAGUUCAAGACUUCAGUUGAGGAGCAGACACUCUCUGCGUAGGAUCAUCAUGCCGAGCAUAAACUGGACUUUCCCCACUUGCCUGGCAGGAGUGAGACAGAUCACUGUGUGCUAAAUGAGCAUCCGAGCACAGAAGGAAUGAAUGCUGCAUAAUUAAGUACAGUAUUUAAUUUGGCUGUUGUGAAGCAAAAGAAUAAGGUAAUAAUUUUUAUUGUACUAAUCAGUCUCAAGAUGUUCUCUGUGUUAAUUGGGUUAAAAAAAUUGCAGUACUUAUUAGAAAUUCUAAUUUCACAAUGCAGCACUGACAAUAAGCUCAGCCAGUGAAUUAUUCACAUCUUUAAUUUGCUCACUUAAUGACAGUGUUCUGUAAUCAGAGUGCAGAGACUGCUGCCUAUGCAUUAUGUAUGAUGCUCAGGACUUAAAUGCAGGACAUUAUGAAGCUCGCAGUGGUUCAGUAAUUAGUUUUCCACAAGACAGGAUUUAGAUAUUCACAGAUAAAAGUCCACAGUUGGAUAAUGCUAAGGUUGCAACACAAAAUAACAAAGGAAAGGAAGCUCAAAGUUUAGACUGAAACUUUGUCUUUCCGGCCUUGUCCACCUUGGAAACAGAAUCAUGCCACCUGAAAUAGUUGCCCAGCUCUGAUCACAUGUUUGAAAACCAUGUUUGAACAAAGUUGUAGCAGGCAAGGCAUUUGAACAAUUUCAGUGGACCAGAGGGGAAAGAUAAAACCUUUUUAAUUAGUGUUCACAGAAGCUCUGCAAUAUAUCCUCCUAAUAAGUCUGUAGUAUGCAUAGCAGGCAUUCUCAGUGUUCUUUGUAACUUAGUUAGUGCAAAUGCAAAUCAGGUUACAAUAGU